GUCUGUCAAUCUGUCAGUCUGUCCGUCCGUCACAAAAACUUUAACCUUGCCCAUAACUUUUGAUUUAGUGGAGCUAUGACUUUCAUAUUUCACAUGUGUAUUCCUUGUGACAAGACCUUUCUUUGGAUAUAAACAACUUUGACCUUUUGACCUUGACCUUGGAGAUUUCCGUACUUAUGAAAAAAACUUUAACCUUGACCAGAACUUUUGAACGGUAAGGGCUAGGGCUUUCAUACUUCAUAUAUGUAAUUCUUGUGAGAAGACCUUUCAUUGCAUACCAAGAACUUUGACCCUUUGACCUUCACCUUGGAUUUUAAUUUACUUUUCAAUAAUGUUGACCUUGGCUACAACUUUUGAACAGUAGAUACUAGGACUUUCAUAUUUCAUAUAUAUAUGUAUUCUUUGUGGCAAGACCCUUCCUUUUAUCUGAACAACCUUGACCUUUUGACCUUGGAGAUUUUUCAUACUUAUGAAAAAACUUUAACCUUGACCAUAACUUUUGAAUGGUAAGGGCUAGGGCUUUCAUACUUCACAUAUGUAAUUCUUGUGAAAAGACUUUUCAUUGGAUACCAAGAUCUUUAACCCUUUCACCUUUACCUUGGAGUUCAGUGAUGGUUUAUGUAUAAAUAAUAUAUGACGGGGUGUUCAUAUUACACACA